UUGUCCGUGAAGUCAACAGGCGGUGAUCGUGAUGUACUAUUUACGGAGGAAAGCAGCAUUCUCCAGGUUCAGGUUAAGGCCUACUUGUUAGAUCCCCAUCCUCGUCUCAACGGAGUCGCAUCGUGAUGGCUGAAGACCAGCAGCAGUCUGAAGCUGGAGUAGGACCAGCUUUACUCCGCGUUCAAGACUGCAAGGGCUGAGGCGAAUGCGUUGCAGCUAAAAAUAAGAACUCGAUAGUCGAGUCCGAUUUGUCCGUGAAGUCAACAGGCGGUGAUCGUGAUGUACUAUUUACGGAGGAAAGCAGCAUUCUCCAGGUUCAGGUUAAGGCCUACUUGUUAGAUCCCCAUCCUCGUCUCAACGGAGUCGCAUCGUGAUGGCUGAAGACCAGCAGCAGUCUGAAGCUGGAGUAGGACCAGCUUUACCUUCCGCGGUUCAAGGACUGCAAGGGGCUGAGGCGAAUGCGUUGCAGCUAAAAAUAAAGAACUCGAUCUGCAAAACCGUACAAUCAAAGGUGGAUUGCAUUUUGGUGAGUAUUUGAUAUGGAAAAAUAUGAUGAAACAUGUUGAUUCACUGAAUAUACAACACCAACAAAAAUAAUCAUACAAUUAUGAGGUUUAUCUAAUAAUCUAAUAUUAUGUUACAAAUCUUAUAAAACAUUACAAUAGACAUACAAAAAUGUGCUUUAAACCAUAGUAAAUUGUAUUAAUUGGUUAAUUUAAAUAUAUUUGAUUCAAGACAUUUUAAUAAGGUAGACUGUCGCAUUAUAAAUUACACAAGGUGUGUUAAACACAAACCCAAGGUGAAGGCAGUCCCUCCCUCCUCUGAAAAAAUUGGUUCUAUUGGUUCUAUUUCAACAACUAUUAUGGGGAAGCUAAUAAAAAGUAUAGAGAAAACUGUGAGACAGAGACACACAUAAAGAUCACAAGGCCGAGUCCAGAAUGGAAGCAGUGUUCUUGUGCACCCAUCUUAUUAGUCUUUCUGGCCACGUCCAAGCUCACAUUCAUCCUCACAUCUUCGGGACUUUUGUAACAGUGGGCUUUGAAAAGUAAAUGUCAUUUUUCGCUGCAUGCGACAUACCCUGCAUUGUUUAUAGCGGGGAGAUCAAGUGCGGUAGAAUCUCAACAGUUAAGUUUCCACAUUAGUGAAUGUUUUUCAAACAGAGACACACAUAAAGAUCACAAGGCCGAGUCCAGAAUGGAAGCAGUGUUCUUGUGCACCCAUCUUAUUAGUCUUUCUGGCCACGUCCAAGCUCACAUUCAUCCUCACAUCUUCGGGACUUUUGUAACAGUGGGCUUUGAAAAGUAAAUGUCAUUUUUCGCUGCAUGCGACAUACCCUGCAUUGUUUAUAGCGGGGAGAUCAAGUGCGGUAGAAUCUCAACAGUUAAGUUUCCACAUUAGUGAAUGUUUUCAACAUUGACAAUAAUAAGAAACGUUUCUUGAACGCCAAGGAGUAAUGGCUGCUGAAAAUCCAUCUUUACCAUCACAAGAAUACAUUUUUAUAAAAUUUAUUAAAAUAGAAUACCGUUAUUUAAAAUUACUGGAUUUUGAGCAAAUAAAUCCAGCCUUGGUGAGCAUGAGAUAAUUCUUUUUGCAAUUUAUUGUAAUAUAAUUGUCAGCAAAGUUAAAGUGUGAAGCAGUCCUUGGUUAUCAUAUAUUUGAGUGAGGGCUGCGUAAAACAUUGGGUUUGUCAGUGCGGAUGUUUGUAAUUUGUGGACAAGUUAUGCAUUAUUGAGGAGGUUCCCAUCAGGUGAUGUAGGGCUGCAGCCAAUAAGGUUUUGAGUUAUAUGGGGUGAUAUGUGAGGGGAAAAGAAGGUGACAGUGGUUUGUUAAUGGCCCCUCAAGGUAAAGAGAAACACAAAAUCCUCUCCAGAUAUUAGGCGGUGUGCCCUGUGUCCGCUGCUCACCUCGUCUGUCCUCUCCAGUCCCUCCUCCCCUAGCCUGCCCCUGUUGACCUCUGCAGGAUGUUGCCAGCUCUCACUGAGUCUUGCAUCAGCCUCCUCGCUUGAAACUUUCAUUCCAUAGUAGUAUCCCACAAAGCCUUGCUUUUGAACACUUAUUACCUCACAUUUACAUCUUGCUAACCAUGUCACUCAAAAAAAAAAAACUAAUGCUUCAAAAUGUUCAACAUUCUGUCAUAAUUUUUGGCAAUUUUUGUCAACCAAGAAAUUCAGAGCAAACAAAGCCUGGUUUAAUUAAAUGAACAUUUAACUCUAGGAGGGUAUAUUUAGAUAUUUUUUUGUGUGUUUAAAGGGUUAGUUCACCCCAAAAUGAAAAUUCUGUCAUUAAUUACUCACCCACAUGUCGUUACAAACCUGUAAGACCUUCGUUCAUCUUUGGAACACAAAUUAAGAUAUUUUUUAAGAAAAUGGAGAGGUAUCUGACCCUCCAUAGACUGAAAUGUUCCCCAGGUUCAGAAACGUAGUAAAUACAUUGGUAAAACAGUCCAUGUGACAUCAGUGGCUCAACUUCAGUUUUGCGAUGCUACGAGAAUACUUAUUUUGCGCAAAGAAAACAAAAAUAACAUAAUUUACUCAACCAUUCUUCUCCCCCGAGUUACAUCUUCCGC
rnacentral:lncRNA from 1 species